UUGGUUUUAAUAAGGAAAUGGAUUCUCUAAUAGAUUUUCCUAAAGUCAAUGAGAGACUUAGACAAAGACCUCCUAGACUUGCAUACAAGAAGCAUUUUCAAAGAAUCUUUACAAAACCUGUUGAUGGAAAUACCCUUAAGUGUUCAAAUUGUGGAGACUCAGAACACUUUGAGAAAGAAUGUCAUAAAGUCUGGAGAUCUGUUAAGAAAGAUUGGAUAAAAGCAACAUACUCUACAAUACUAUUAACAAGGGUCUGAUCUAACACUUUUCCACAUAUAAUCAAGGUCUGACAAAAUAGGAUGGGAUCUCAGUCCUCAUCCGGGUCAUACUCAGGAUCCUCCCCUGGAUCAUCUUCUUCUUCUUCUUAAUCUUCCUUCUCCUUAGAUUUCACAUCAGGUUUCUCCUCCUCAGGUUUCUCCUCCUCAGGUUCCUCCUCCUUAGGCUCCUUAUUAGGGUCCUGAAAUGAUUAUACAAUAACCAUUGAGACCACGUAUCAGCGAGUUCUACCCCCUAAGACUUGAUUAGUAAACCAAUACGCUAACCAGGCUGCCUAUGCACGCACGGGUCAAAGGACUUACCUUGGCCUCAAAUUCCACCUACAUAUUAGCACAGAUCAAUAGGCAUCUAAGCAAUCAUAUGACAGAUCGAUAUCUCGAUCAAUCGACCUAGUCGAUUACAUGUCAAUCGGACUAUUCAUCAGUCAUUUCAAUUCAAUCAAUCAAUUCACAACAUCAUAUCAAAGCAAUGAUCAAUCGAUUACAUGACAUCUCGCUCAUUUCAUACUAUCUAUAAGUCUGUUCAUAUCAGGACUGCUCACUGCUAAGUUGAUAAAUAGAUAGUAGAGCUUGUUUCUGAGAUGAUCGGGUAUACUGCUCUCUACUAAGCUACCAUAUCACCCUUAGGCUGAUAUAGUAACUGAUAGUACUCAAUCUAAGUUGAUAAUGAUAUAGCUAGUAUAAACACCUAGAGGGGGGGGGGGUGAAUAGGCGCACAAACAAUUUUUCUUGAAUACGGAAGCAAUUCUUAACAGAUUGAAAUACGAUCGAGGUAAAGAGAGUAAGGAAGAGAAAAUUAAACACAGGAUUUAUAGUGGUUUGGCUUAUUCCAAGCCUACGUCCACUCUUCCGCACUGACAGCCCACCGGCUGGAUUUCACUAUGAUCAAAAGAGAAGUUACAGCACAGCUUUUCCUUGAUUCCACAGUGUAGAUGUUCUACCACACUUCCUCAAGGUCUCUCACAAAUAUAGACUCUCUUUUGUAUACAAGUAUUCGCUCAAGAGAUUUAUCUAAACAAAUAGGAGCUUCAGACUUUGGAAUUCUUCUAUCGCGCACACCUCGAACAACUAAGAACGACUUCCUUAUAUACUCCUUUAUGCCAUCAUAUCCGUUGGCACUUACCAAAGGAAUUCCUCCAAUCUACCCGUUGGACGGAAUCAAUUAGGAAGAUCGUUCGAGCUAUUAAAGGAACGUGUUGAUAGCCCAUCAAUCCUGUUCACCCAUACAAUCAGGAUCUUGGUUUCCAUAAGUAGAACCUUCCAAUAAUACUUUAGACAAUCAUCGAAUCUUCAGUCAUUGAAUCAAUCUUGAUCAAUAAAAGGAUUCUGAUACGUCUUCUCCAGCCACGAGAUCUUCUCCUGAUGAUAAGGUUAAAUCCUGAACAAACCAUUCAGUCUUGAGUCUGUCAAUGAGGAUAGACUUUGAGUCUUGAGUCUGGCUGUCCGGAAGUCUUCAGACUUUAACUGACAGAGUCUGCAGACUUUCAGACUAGACUGAAGGAUACGUUUUGUCAACUUCAAAACUCUUCAUGAGGAUUUCUCCAACAGAUAAGGUAUACCGCUCUCUGCUAAGUUGACAUAUCGCCAUUAGGCUGAUAUAUCGCCCUUAAGCUGAUAUAGUAUACCGACAUAUUCCAUCAAAACUAAUAAGGUAUACUGCUCUCUGUUAAGCUGACAUAUCGCCCGUAGGCUGAUAUAGUAUACCGGUAUACUACUCUCUGCUAAGCUGACAUACCGCCCUUAAGUUAAUAUAGUAUAUCGACAUAUUCCACCAAAACUAAUAAGGUAUACUGCUCUCUAUUAAGCUCACAUAUGGCCCGUAGGCUGAUAUAGUAUACCGGUAUACUACUCUCUGCUAAGCUGACAUAUCACCCGUAGGUCGAUAUAGUAUACCAUCCCAAUCAUACAAUCGAGUCCAGCUUUUUAUCAUUCUCAAUAAAAUAGCCGUGUGUGGGUACACGGUCGGUCUUAGCCAAAAUAUAAUAUUUUACUUUCCAUAACUCCUACAUUUUUUGUAGUCCACUCAAAUAUUUUUGGCAUUAUCAACCGAUACUAGAUUAUUUUUCAAUUAAUAACCAAUGAUUAUCCAAUUAAAGAAUAAUUCUCACUUUCACAAAUAAUUCAAUUCAGCAUGAAAUAAAGCUCAAUUAAAUAAAUGAAUUGCGCCACAACAAUCAGUAUAAAAUUCCAGUCACCAGCUAUCACGGUUGAAUUUCCGGAAAAAUAAAUAAAUAAAUAAAUAAAUAAUUUUGAAAAUUAAUAAUUAAAUACUAAAAAUCCAAUUUAGGCUCGUAUUGCCUAAUUGAAGCCUGAUAAGGGUUGUGAAAAAUCCUGAGAUGCAUUCAAUAAAUACUAACACAUGUCUAUUCGCUAAUUGCACAAUUCAAUUGCCUAACAUACAUCACAAUUAUCUAAUAAUCACUAAUCUAUUCUAAUCUAACCACCUAAUUGCAUUUAAUUAAAUCUAAUCAACCCUUAAGCAUAAUUAACAAAAUAAAAAAGUAUUAGUGAGUAAAACUUAUUUGAUUAAAAGUGGAAACUGGAUCACCGCGACGGCGGCCGAACUUGGGCUCACGACGACGCUGACGGGCUUGGAUUGGGCCUUAAAUUGGCCCAACACAACUUAGCAAGGUUGAGCUUCGGCCUUGGGCUUCUGCAGGGCUGCAGCCAAGAUGGGCUGCCUUCUUGUGCUGAGAUGGGCUGGGCUGAGAAGGCCUUGCAAGGCCCACGAUGACUGCUGGCCUUGACUCUGGGCUUGGCUGAAACUCACGUGGGCUGGGCUGCUGGAAACACUGAACUGGGCCGGGCUUUAAGUGGGCUGAAAGUAAAAUUGCUUGGAGAUGGAAGCUGGGCUGAAGAUGCGGGCCAUGGGCGCUAGAAUUGGGGCUGGACGUUGGGCUGACUUCAUGAGGAAGACACGGGCAGAAGCGGAGACGCACGGCAGCUGCAUGGGCACUUCGCUGGACGCCUGGCAGAGGAAGAAACGCUGGUGCUGCUUCGGAUUUCGUUAAUGGACGAGGAGCCGCGUGGAUGAAGACUUCGUGGAGAUGGGCGGUCAACGUUGGGGCUUCUUGCUACUGGAACGCAAUUCGGUGGGAUGGAACGGCUGAAGGUGGGCCGGGCCUGUGGGACGUUUGUUGUCGGUAUAAGAGGGAUCGAUGGAGCAUUUGUGGAGCGUCGGCGUGCGUUGGAGUGAAGCAGCUGCAGCGGAAUCGAUGGAGACGUGGAGGGGUGUAGUGGCGUCGAAGCUGAGGUCAAUACACCGGUGGGGAGGCUUCACUGGUUGACCGAACAUGUGGCAGUUGCUGAAGUUGCCUCGGUCGACAUCGAUGGAAUUGGCUGACUUCGCAGUCGUAGAGAGGAGGCGCACAUGUGGCCGCAAGCUGGGGGAAGCAUUGGAGAGUUGGGGGAAUUCUGUGGGUUUUCGGUGGGAUGGCAGAAUGAACAAAAUUGAAGCAGCUGCUGGCGUGAGGUGAGCAGCGAGAGAGAGGGGAGAAGUCGGUCGAAGAUGGGCAGCAAGAGAGAGAGAAAGAGACGUGCCAGAAUGAGAGACCGACGGAGGGAACGGAUGAGGG
rnacentral:lncRNA from 1 species